GAGAUAGAGGUGCGAAUGUCAAGAGUAUGUACAGGGAGUGUGGUAGACGUUGAUCUGUACAAAAAGGGGCUUUUGCCGAAGGUCGGGUGUACCGAGCAUCCGAUUCUGGUCAUGCAUUUAAGAGAUGUAUGACUGUCAUCACUUUGUGAUGGAGUGCUAGC
rnacentral:ncRNA from 1 species